UUGUGUGUUUCUGUGAGGAAGAAAAGGAAGUCCCUGAAUGCCAAAAGGCCAUCUGAUCACACUCUGUGCUUGAGGUCAUUGGACUGGAAGAUACAGGAUAUUCUGGUCUGGAGAGAAAGUGAAAGGAGAGAGAAGGAGAGAGAGAGAAGGAGAGAGAGGAAGAGGAGAGGAGAGGAGAGAAGAGGAGGGAGAGGUAUUGUAAUAGUACGCGUGAGGAUAGUGCAUGUUUAUGUAUAGUGAGAUAGUGAAGGGAGAUAGGGAGAAGGAGAGAGAAGGAGAGAGAGAGAAGGAGAGAGAGGAAGAGGAGAGGAGAGGAGAGGAAGAGGAGAGGAGAGGAGAGGAAGAGGAGAGGAGAGGAAGGAGAGGUAUUGUAAUAGUACGCGUGAGGAUAGUGCAUGUUUAUGUAUAGUGAGAUAGUGAAGAGAGAUAGAGAGAAGGAGAGAGAGGAGAGGAGAGGAGAGGAGAGGAAGAGGAGAGGAAGAGAGGAGAGGUAUUGUAAUAGUACGCGUGAGGAUAGUGCAAGUUUAUGUAUAGUUAGAUAGUGAAGAGAGAUAGAGAGAGGAGAGAGAGGAGAGGAAGAGGAGAGGAAGAGGAGAGGAAGAGAGGAGAGGUAUUGUAAUAGUACGUGUGAGGAGAGUGCAUGUUUAUGUAUAGUGAGAUAGUGAAGGGAGAUAGGGAGAAGGAGAGAGAGGAAGAGGAGAGGAAGAAGAGAGGAGAGGGGAGAGGAGAGGAGAGGAAGGAGAGAGGAAGAGAGGAGAGGUAUUGUAAUAGUACGCGUGAGGAUAGUGCAAGUUUAUGUAUAGUGAGAUAGUGAAGGGAGAUAGAGAGAAGGAGAGAGAGGAAGAGGAGAGGAGAGGAAGAGGAGAGGAGAGGAGAGGAGAGGAAGAAGAGAGGAAGAGGAGGGAGAGGUAUUGUAAUAGUACGCGUGAGGAUAGUGCAUGUUUAUGUAUAGUGAGAUAGUGAAGAGAGAUAGAGAGAAGGAGAGAGAGGAGAGGAGAGGAGAGGAGAGGAGAGGAAGAGGAGAGGAAGAGAGGAGAGGUAUUGUAAUAGUACGCGUGAGGAUAGUGCAUGUUUAUGUAUAGUGAGAUAGUGAAGA
ensembl:lncRNA